rnacentral:rRNA from 1 species
GGACCCGCGGUGCAUUAGCUAGUUGGUGAGGUAACGGCUCACCAAGGCCACGAUGCAUAGCCGACCUGAGAGGGUGAUCGGCCACAUUGGGACUGAGACACGGCCCAAACUCCUACGGGAGGCAGCAGUAGGGAAUCUUCGGCAAUGGACGAAAGUCUGACCGAGCAACGCCGCGUGAGUGAAGAAGGUUUUCGGAUCGUAAAACUCUGUUGUUAGAGAAGAACAAGGAUGAGAGUAACUGUUCAUCCCUUGACGGUAUCUAACCAGAAAGCCACGGCUAACUACGUGCCAGCAGCCGCGGUAAUACGUAGGUGGCAAGCGUUGUCCGGAUUUAUUGGGCGUAAAGCGAGCGCAGGCGGUUUCUUAAGUCUGAUGUGAAAGCCCCCGGCUCAACCGGGGAGGGUCAUUGGAAACUGGGAGACUUGAGUGCAGAAGAGGAGAGUGGAAUUCCAUGUGUAGCGGUGAAAUGCGUAGAUAUAUGGAGGAACACCAGUGGCGAAGGCGGCUCUCUGGUCUGUAACUGACGCUGAGGCUCGAAAGCGUGGGGAGCAAACAGGAUUAGAUACCCUGGUAGUCCACGCCGUAAACGAUGAGUGCUAAGUGUUGGAGGGUUUCCGCCCUUCAGUGCUGCAGCUAACGCAUUAAGCACUCCGCCUGGGGAGUACGACCGCAAGGUUGAAACUCAAAGGAAUUGACGGGGGCCCGCACAAGCGGUGGAGCAUGUGGUUUAAUUCGAAGCAACGCGAAGAACCUUACCAGGUCUUGACAUCCUUUGACCACUCUAGAGAUAGAGCUUCCCCUUCGGGGGCAAAGUGACAGGUGGUGCAUGGUUGUCGUCAGCUCGUGUCGUGAGAUGUUGGGUUAAGUCCCGCAACGAGCGCAACCCUUAUUGUUAGUUGCCAUCAUUCAGUUGGGCACUCUAGCAAGACUGCCGGUGACAAACCGGAGGAAGGUGGGGAUGACGUCAAAUCAUCAUGCCCCUUAUGACCUGGGCUACACACGUGCUACAAUGGGAAGUACAACGAGUUGCGAAGUCGCGAGGCUAAGCUAAUCUCUUAAAGCUUCUCUCAGUUCGGAUUGCAGGCUGCAACUCGCCUGCAUGAAGCCGGAAUCGCUAGUAAUCGCGGAUCAGCACGCCGCGGUGAAUACGUUCCCGGGCCUUGUACACACCGCCCGUCACACCACGAGAGUUUGUAACACCCGAAGUCGGUGAGGUAACCUUUUGGAGCCAGCCGCCUAAGGUGGGAUAGAUGAUUGGGGUGAAGUCGUAACAAGGUAGCCGUAUCGGAAGGUGCGGCUGGAUCACCUCCUUU